UGAGCAGCACAGAUGGUCGCGCCUAUAAGCUGCCGAAAGGCCAUAGGUGAGGAAAGUCCGAGCUUCAUAGGGCAGGGUGCCGGAUAACGUCCGGUGGAGGCGACUCUAAGGAUAGUGCAAUAGAAAUAUACCGCCGGGAAUUCCCGGUAAGGGUGGAAUGGUGGGGUAAGAGCCCACCGCCUGGAUGGUAACACCCAGGGCAUAUGUAAACCCCACUCGAAGCAAGACCGAAUAUUAAAGCGAUACGGCUGCCCGUCGUGCUUUAGGGUAGGUCGCGGUUUGCGGGAUACGUUAGUUUCUCGGAACGAGCCUCAUGGUAACAUGGGGCACAGAUAGAUGACCAUUUGAUACAGAACUCGGCUUAUAGUGCUGCUCAUUUA
rnacentral:RNase_P_RNA from 2 species